rnacentral:lncRNA from 1 species
CGGCUACCCUCUUUGGGUCCCCUCCCAUUUUAUGGGAGCUCUGUUUUCACUCUAUUAAAUCUUGCAACUGCACACUCUUCUGGUCCGUGUUUGUUACAGCUUGAGCUGAGCUUUCACUCGCCGUCCACCACUGCUGUUUGUCGCCGUCACAGACCCACCGCUGACUUCCACCCCUCCGAAUCUGGCAGGGUGUCUCAUGUGCUCCUGAUCCAGCGAGGUGCCCAUUGCUGCUCUGGAUUAGGCUAAAGGCUUGCCAUUGUUCCUGCACAGCUAAGUGCCCGGGUUCAUCCCAAUUGAGCUGAACACUAGUCGCUGGGUUCCACGGCUCUCUUCUGUGACCCACAGCUUCUAAUAGAGCUCUAACACUCACUGCAUGGCCCAAGGUUCCAUUCUUUGGAAUCUGUGAGGCCAAGAACCCCAAGUCAGACAACAAGAGGCUUGCUACCAUCUUGGAAGCAGCCCGCCACCAUCUUGGAAGUGGCCUGCCACCAUCUUGGGAGCUCUGGAAGCAAGGACCCCCAGUAACAUUUUGGCAACCACAAAGGGAUCUCCAAAGCAUUUGUCUCUUCCAGAAUCAAAGCUGUAAAACUACAAAUCGAUCUUCAAAUGGAGCCCCAGAUGCAGUCCAUGACUAAGAUCUACCACGGACCCCUGGACUGGCCUGCUAGCCCACGCUCCAAUGUUGAUGACAUCGAAGGCGCCCCUCCCAAGGAAAUCUCAACUGCAUGACCCCUACUACGCCCCAAUUCCGCAGGAAGCAGUUAGAGCAGUCAUUGGCCAACCUCCCCAACAGCACUUGAGUUUUCCUGUUGAGAGGGAGAACUGAGAGACAGGACUAGCUGGAUUUCCCAGGCCAACUAAGAAUCCCUAAGCCUAUCUGGGAAGGUGACCAUAUCCACCUUUAAACAUAGGGCUUGCAACUUAGCUCACACCCGACUAAUCAGAUAGUAAGGAGAGCUCACUAAAAUGCUAAUUAGGCAAAAACAGGAGGUAAAGAAAUAGCCAAUCAUCUAUUGCCUGAGAGCACAGCAGGAGGGACAAUGAUCAGGAUAUAAACCCAGGCAUUCAAGCCAGCAACAGCUACCCCCUUUGGGUCCCCUCCCUUUGUAUGGGAGCUCUGUUUUCACUGUAUAAAAUCUUGCAAUUGCACACUCUUCUGGUCCAUAUUUGUUACAGCUCAAGCUAAGUUUUCGCUUGCCGUCCACCACUGCUGUUUGUCGCUGUUGCAGACCCGCCGCUGACUUCCACCCCUCCGGAUCUGGCAGGGUGUCUGCUCUGCUCCUGAUCCAGUGAGGCGCCCAUUGCCACUCCGGAUCGGGCUAAAGGCUUG